rnacentral:rRNA from 1 species
GGGUUGUUGCUGGCCCCCAAACCGGGCACGUGCACGCCCUGUUUACGCAUCCACUCACACCUGUGCACCCUCUGUAGUUCUGUGGACCGGGAGACGUCGUCUUCCUUCCGUGGCUCUACGUCUUUACACACACGCCGUAGCGAAGUCUCAUGGAAUGUUUUUCGCGUUUAACGCAAUACAAUACAACUUUCAGCAACGGAUCUCUUGGCUCUCGCAUCGAUGAAGAACGCAGCGAAAUGCGAUAAGUAAUGUGAAUUGCAGAAUUCAGUGAAUCAUCGAAUCUUUGAACGCACCUUGCGCCCCUUGGUCAUUCCUCGGGGCAUGCCUGUUUGAGUAUCAUGAACACCUCAACUCUCGUGGUCUUCCAUGAUGAGCUUGGACUUUGGGGGUUUGCUGGCCCUGUGGCCGGCUCCUCUCAAACGAAUCAKCUUGCCAGUGUUUGGCGGCGUCACGGGUGUGAUAACCAUCUACGCUUGCGAUCGCCUGCCAGAUAACCCUCAGCGAUGAAGGUUCAUUGGGGCUCACAAAAGUCUCUCCACGGCGAGGACGAAUUUUGAAUGUUCGAUCUCAAAUCAGGUAGGACUACCCGCUGAACUUAAGCAUAUCAAUAAGCGGAGGAAAAGAAACUAACAAGGAUUCCCCUAGUAACUGCGAGUGAAGCGGGAAGAGCUCAAAUUUAAAAUCUGGCGUGCCUCCGGUCGUCCGAAUUGUAGUCUGGAGAAGCGUUUUCCGUGCUGGACCGUGUA